CAUUUUUGAGAGACAUAUAUAUAUAAGAUAUAAUCGAGAUCUAAAAACCUCCUCAAAACAA
rnacentral:tRNA from 1 species